rnacentral:rRNA from 1 species
GAUCAUGGCUCAGGACGAACGCUGGCGGCGUGCCUAAUACAUGCAAGUUGAACGCUUGAUUUUCACCGAAGCUUGUUUCACCGAAAAUCAAGAGUAGCGAACGGGUGAGUAACGCGUGGGUAACCUACCUUUAAGCGGGGGAUAACUAUUGGAAACGAUAGCUAAUACCGCAUAAUAAUGUUGGAUGCAUAUUCGACAUUUGAAAGUACCAACUGGUACACUGAGAGAUGGACCCGCGUUGUAUUAG